ACAGCAGUCUUAAGCGUCAGAUAGGGGACACAGGAAGUCACAUGAUAUACACACGUGACUGUGCACUGUCUGACUCUGGACUCUGGAGGAGCAAGCUGUCGUGUGAAGACGAACAGCCAGCCAGUGUAGCAGCCUGCAGCCCUAGUAGCCAGCCACAGAGGAGCUGACUGAGCAUUCCUAAUUUUUAGGAGUCUAGGAAUCCCGGGAGUGUUAGCCAUCCUAGAGCCUGGCUUCUUUCUUCUGAAGUGGGAGGGCUUUGAUGGAGCACAAUCAAAUGGCAUCAAUGUGCAGCAGGGGACAAACUGUAACUGGAUUCAUGUGAAUGGUAUUACCACGCCCACUAUCCCAUUAUCUGUGCCCAUGGAUCGGGGAAGAGAUCCAAAAAGCAGGUUUUCGUCUUAUUGGGCUGCUGGACGCAAUUUCUUUUCUGCUCUGACCACAAGAGAUUGCCUGUGACUCUAACCCCAUAAUGACAUCGAUCUGUAACUGAAAUAUGUUUAGUUCUGAUGAGGUCAGAAAACGUUUACAUCUAUAUCUGUGAAUGUCUAUCUCUUAUUUUGUUUUUGUCACUACAAUAA